rnacentral:rRNA from 1 species
GACGAACGCUGGCGGCGUGCUUAACACAUGCAAGUCGAACGGAAAGGCCCUGCUUUUGUGGGGUGCUCGAGUGGCGAACGGGUGAGUAACACGUGAGUAACCUGCCCUUGACUUUGGGAUAACUUCAGGAAACUGGGGCUAAUACCGGAUAGGAGCUCCUGCUGCAUGGUGGGGGUUGGAAAGUUUCGGCGGUUGGGGAUGGACUCGCGGCUUAUCAGCUUGUUGGUGGGGUAGUGGCUUACCAAGGCUUUGACGGGUAGCCGGCCUGAGAGGGUGACCGGCAACAUGGGGACUGAGAGACGGCCAAGACUCUGACGGGAGGAAGAAGUGGGGAAUAUUGAACAAGGGGCGGAAGCCUGAUGAAGCAACGCCGGGUGCGGGAUGACGGCCUUCGGGUUGUAAACCGCUUUCGCCUGUGACGAAGCGUGAGUGACGGUAAUGGGUAAAGAAGCACCGGCUAACUACGU